GGCUGUGGCUCAGUGGUACAGCACUUGCCUAGCAUGUGUGAGGCACUGGGUUCCAUUCUCAGCACCA
rnacentral:tRNA from 1 species